GCAGUCGAACGGCAGCACGGGUGCUUGCACCUGGUGGCGAGUGGCGCACUGGUGAGUAAUAUAUCGGAACGUGCCCUAGAGUGGGGGAUAACGUAGCGAAAGUUACGCUAAUACCGCAUACGAUCUAUGGAUGAAAGUGGGGGAUCGCAAGACCUCAUGCUCCUGGAGCGGCCGAUAUCUGAUUAGCUAGUUGGUGGGGUAAUAGCCCACCAAGGCGACGAUCAGUAGCUGGUCUGAGAGGACGACCAGCCACACUGGGACUGAGACACGGCCCAGACUCCUACGGGAGGCAGCAGUGGGGAAUUUUGGACAAUGGGGGAAACCCUGAUCCAGCAAUGCCGCGUGUGUGAAGAAGGCCUUCGGGUUGUAAAGCACUUUUGUCAGGAACGAAACGGUGGGGGCUAAUAUCCUCUGCUAAUGACGGUACCUGAAGAAUAAGCACCGGCUAACUACGUGCCAGCAGCCGCGGUAAUACGUAGGGUGCAAGCGUUAAUCGGAAUUACUGGGCGUAAAGCGUGCGCAGGCGGUUGUGCAAGACAGAUGUGAAAUCCCCGGGCUUAACCUGGGAAUUGCAUUUGUGACUGCACGGCUAGAGUGUGUCAGAGGGGGGUAGAAUUCCACGUGUAGCAGUGAAAUGCGUAGAUAUGUGGAGGAAUACCGAUGGCGAAGGCAGCCCCCUGGGAUAACACUGACGCUCAUGCACGAAAGCGUGGGGAGCAAACAGGAUUAGAUACCCUGGUAGUCCACGCCCUAAACGAUGUCUACUAGUUGUCGGGUCUUAAUUGACUUGGUAACGCAGCUAACGCGUGAAGUAGACCGCCUGGGGAGUACGGUCGCAAGAUUAAAACUCAAAGGAAUUGACGGGGACCCGCACAAGCGGUGGAUGAUGUGGAUUAAUUCGAUGCAACGCGAAAAAACUUUACUACCCUUGACAUGUACGGAACCCUGCUGAGAGGUGGGGGUGCUCGAA
rnacentral:rRNA from 1 species